rnacentral:tRNA from 1 species
GGAAUGUUAGCUCAGUUGGUUAGAGCGUCCGCCUCAUAAGCGGAUGGUCAUGGGUUCGAGUCCCAUACAUUCCACUA